rnacentral:lncRNA from 1 species
UGAAUGCACAGCUGUAAAGAGGUACCAUGUGGAGGUACAGUCCUAUGAUAUACCUUGAUUGCAUAGCUGUAAGUAGGUACCAUGUGGAGGUACAGUCCUAUGAUAUACCUAGAUAGCAUAGCUUUAAAGAAGUAACAAGUGGAGGUACAGUCCUAUGAUAUACCUUGAAUGCAUAGCUGUAAAGAGGUACCAUGUGGAGGUACAGUCCUAUGAUAUACCUAGAAAGCAUAGCUUUAAAGAGGUACCAUAUGGAGUUACAGUCCUAUGAUAUACCUUGAAUGCAUAGCUGUAAAGAGGUACCAUGUGGAGGUACA